AUGAACGCUGGCGGCGUGCCUAAUACAUGCAAGUCGAGCGAACAGAUGAGGAGCUUGCUCCUCUGACGUUAGCGGCGGACGGGUGAGUAACACGUGGAUAACCUACCUAUAAGACUGGGAUAACUUCGGGAAACCGGAGCUAAUACCGGAUAAUAUAUUGAACCGCAUGGUUCAAUAGUGAAAGACGGUUUUGCUGUCACUUAUAGAUGGAUCCGCGCCGCAUUAGCUAGUUGGUAAGGUAACGGCUUACCAAGGCAACGAUGCGUAGCCGACCUGAGAGGGGGAUCGCCACCACGGAAACUAGAACACGGUCCGAACCCCACGGGAAGGCAGAGGUAGGAAAUCUUCCGAAUUGGGCGAAGGCCUAACGAGGCAACGCCGCGGGGGUAAUAAGGGUCUUCGGUUCGUAAACUCUGUUAUUAGGGAAGAACAAAUGUGUAAGUAACUAUGCACGUCUUGACGGUACCUAAUCAGAAAGCCACGGCUAACUACGUG
rnacentral:rRNA from 1 species